GCCCCGUAACCCAGCAGCGCCUCGGCCGCCGCCGCGCUUCCGUCGGCGGGCGCCUCUGACGUACACUCGGCUGGGAGUCAAAGGUCGCGCUCUGCGCGCGGCACCGCCCACCCACGUCGCCAUGGCUACGGCCGGCGGCGCUUCCGCUUCCGGUUCCGCCUGGACGUGCUGGCGCCCGAGUCCGGCGCUUCCGGGGCGCGGAAACUGACGGUGUUUCAUGCAACGUUUGGAGACCCGUGCAUACUGAGGGGACUUGAAAAACUUAAUGGAAAUGGCUGUACCAGUUGACAUUCCCACCGACAGUGGAUUGAGGUGACAAUUCUUCUUGGUCUUAACCCCGAUUUCACUGUCAUUUCAUCAUUAAGAAGACUCAUCUGUGCCAGAAGAAUGUCCAUCUGUCUGCUUAGAUUAUCACUUGCUCUUGCAUGUUGUCUACUGCUUCUAUUAGAGUCCAUCCGAUGUCCACCAACUGAUGACUGGGUAAGGAAAUUAUGGUGUGUUUACACUAUGGUAUACUACUUAGCCAUAAAAAAGGAUGCAAUCCUUUCUUUUGCAACAAAAUGGAUGUGACUGGAAGCCCUUAUACUUAGUGAAACAAGCCAGUCCCCAAAAGACAAAUACUACAUAUUUUCCCUGAUCUGUGGUAACUAAUGGAGUACCAAAAAUGUAAUGCAAAGGAGUGAAACUGACAUUUUGAGCUUCGAUGAUUGUUUACAGCCCUUGUCUCCACUGCUGAGGAACAGUGUUGUUUUCUUCAUCCUAUUUGUUCCCCUCAUUACUUAGCAUAGGGUUAAUUUUAUGAGUAUAAAGUAAUCUGAAAGUAGAUCACUGUAAAAAUGAAGGGGAGGUGGCGACUCUGUGGCACAGUGGGGUAAAGCCCUUUUUUGCCUGCAGCUCCUGUAUCCCAUAUGGGAGCUGGUUCCAGUCUAGGCUGCUCCACUUCUGAUCCAGCUCCCUGCUAAUGUUCCUCGGAAAGCAACAGAAGAUGGCCCAGGAGCUUGGGUCCCUACAAUCACGUAAGAGAUCUAGAAGAGGCUUCUGGCUCCUGGCUUCAGAUCGGCACAGCUCCAGCCAUUGUGACCAUCUGAGGAGUGAACCCAUGGAUGGAAGACCUCUCUCUCGGUCUGGAACUCUGCCUUCCAAAUAAAUAAAUCAAUCUCUCUUUUCUUUUUCCUUUUCAAAGAAAAUGGUAUUAAGAGAGGAGACCUGAUAGGAGGUAUUUAACUUAUGAGCGCUCCACCCCAUGAAUGGAUUAACACCACUCUCGUGGGAUGGGUCAUUACAAAGAGGGGAGUCCAGCCUCUUUCUUCUCUCACACUGUGUUGCUCUUGCAUCUUCUCCCCCGAGGUGACAGAGCGUGAAGGACCUCAUCAGAUCCCAGCAUGUUCUCUUGGACUUCCACAAUGAAUGUCCAUCUGUCUGCUUAGAUUAUCACUUGCUCUUGCAUGUUGUCUACUGCUUCUAUUAGAGUCCAUCCGAUGUCCACCAACUGAUGACUGGGUAAGGAAAUUAUGGUGUGUUUACACUAUGGUAUACUACUUAGCCAUAAAAAAGGAUGCAAUCCUUUCUUUUGCAACAAAAUGGAUGUGACUGGAAGCCCUUAUACUUAGUGAAACAAGCCAGUCCCCAAAAGACAAAUACUACAUAUUUUCCCUGAUCUGUGGUAACUAAUGGAGUACCAAAAAUGUAAUGCAAAGGAGUGAAACUGACAUUUUGAGCUUCGAUGAUUGUUUACAGCCCUUGUCUCUACUGUUGAGGAACAGUGUUGUUUUCUUCAUCCUAUUUGUUCCCCUCAUUACUUAGCAUAGGGUUAAUUUUAUGAGUAUAAAGUAAUCUGAAAGUAGAUCACUGUAAAAAUGAAGGGGAGGUGGCGACUCUGUGGCACAGUGGGGUAAAGCCCUUUUUUGCCUGCAGCUCCUGUAUCCCAUAUGGGAGCUGGUUCCAGUCUAGGCUGCUCCACUUCUGAUCCAGCUCCCUGCUAAUGUUCCUCGGAAAGCAACAGAAGAUGGCCCAGGAGCUUGGGUCCCUACAAUCACGUAAGAGAUCUAGAAGAGGCUUCUGGCUCCUGGCUUCAGAUCGGCACAGCUCCAGCCAUUGUGACCAUCUGAGGAGUGAACCCAUGGAUGGAAGACCUCUCUCUCGGUCUGGAACUCUGCCUUCCAAAUAAAUAAAUCAAUCUCUCUUUUCUUUUUCCUUUUCAAAGAAAAUGGUAUUAAGAGAGGAGACCUGAUAGGAGGUAUUUAACUUAUGAGCGCUCCACCCCAUGAAUGGAUUAACACCACUCUCGUGGGAUGGGUCAUUACAAAGAGGGGAGUCCAGCCUCUUUCUUCUCUCACACUGUGUUGCUCUUGCAUCUUCUCCCCCGAGGUGACAGAGCGUGAAGGACCUCAUCAGAUCCCAGCAUGUUCUCUUGGACUUCCACAAUGGCAUGUGAAACAGGGCCAGGCUGCCAUCUUAUGGUCUCACUGUGCACCAGCUGUAUGCCAGGUGUGGCGUCCUAUCAUCUAUGGAGACAACGAAACAGACAAUUGGGGAAGUGACAGAGCGUGAAUGACCUCAUCAGAUCCCAGCAUGUUCUCUUGGACUUCCACAAUGAAUAUGAUAUCCGCGAGGGAAGGAAUUUUUGUGUUUUGUUUGCUGCACCCACCAGUGCCUGGCACAUAGUAGCCUCUCAUUGGCCACCAUGGGCGGAUCUGAAGCCAGGAGCCAGGAGCUUCUUCCAGGUCUCCCACGUUCAUGAGCAGAAAGCUGGAUCAGAAGUGGAGCAGCUGAGACUCAAACCUAUAUGGGACGCUGGUGCUGCAGGCAGUGCCUUCACCCACUACACCACAGCGCUGGAUUGGAGAACCCAAGUUCUGAGUCCUCUUAGAGGAGAGAGGAUCCCCACGCUGAGACCAGCUUCCCAGUGCUAAGCCCUGGCAGGUGAACUUUCCCCACACCUCCCAGAUGUAAAGGUCGGAGUGGGGGGAACCGGCAGAACAUCCCAGGCCCUAUGAGGGAAGGGGAGCCAGGGUGCUCGAGGUGACAGUGUGAGGAGUCAGAUGGGUUGCUAGGCAGCCAGGGUGGUCCCAGUGGAAUUCGGGGUGUAAAAUGCUUGCUUCUCCCAAAAAAGGAGAAGCAAGAACAGAAUGUCCACCCUCCUUCCUUCAGAACCUCCAAAUUUACCGUGAGAAUAGCAAGGGAGUGGUGAUUACACCUUCCUGAGUUCACAGUUUAUUAUGAAAACAGGUUAGUAUCUCAGCCUUGUGAUGCAGACAGGAUAAAGGGUUAUAAGGUCUGUUGUUGGGAUUGCCCACAUCUUAUUGAAGGACAAUUUCAGCCCUGAAAUUGUGCUUGAAAACCUCAGUGCCAUUGAAUCCUCUGGGAUUGGAGUCUCCUGCAACCCCCUCCAUGCCACCUGGCUGGAGGACUUUGACUCUAAUAAAUCUUGCCUUUAAACCUUUUUUUUUAUAUAUAUAUAAAAGAUUUAUUUUGUUUUACUUGAAAGUCACUGUUGCACACAGAGAGAAGGAGAGGCAGAAGUCACAGUUGCACAGAGAGAGGAGAGGCAGAGAGAGAGAGGUCUUCCAUCCACUGGUUCAUUCCCCAAUUGGCUGCAACACCUGGAGCUGUGCCAAUCUGAAGCCAGGAGCCAGGAGCUUCUUCUGGGUCUCCCACAUGGGUGCAGGGGCCCAAGGACCUGGGCCAUCUUCCACUGCUUUCCCAGGCCACAACAGAGAGCUGGAUUGGAAGUGGAGCAGCUGGGUCUCAAACUGGUGCCCAUAUGGGAUGCCAGCACUACAGGAGGUGGCUUUACCCACUAUGCCACAGCACCAGUCCCAACUUUUAAACCUUUAAAUCUCCCUUUUCUCUUUGCCUUGUCCGCUUGGAAAUUCUUCUUCCAUGUGAGACAAGGAACCAAGGUAAUAAUAAUAAUUUCUGUGCCGCCAUUUUCCCGUACAACAGAGGCCUCUCUAACUAAUCCAAUGGGCUGAGAUUCAGGUUCAGUGUUGCAUGCCGUGGUGAGAUCUGGCAAAAGGCUCUGGCUGUGAAUUUUGGGAGAGAGUGAGCAAUUGACUGACCAGGGCAGUUUUGCUACAGAAAGAAGAAGAAAGUCCUGGCAGGGGCUGGGGGUCAUGGCUCUAACUCAGAGAAUGAAUGAACAACCAGUUUCUGAGGAGCCACAGUGGGCAAGGAACUGGUCUCCCACAACCUUCCCCAUACGGGCCACCAAAGGUAAGAGGCAGAACAGAGAGGAAACAGGAUACAAACUCACAGGCAAAACGAAUUUAAUCAAGGGAAAAUAAGUUCACAGAGGUGGCUGACUGUCCUCGUGCACACAGAGUGAGCACAUGGCUGAGAGCAAGAAUUUAGUUACAGGCUGGGUCUAUGCAGCAUAAGCUAGGUAAGCUGAGCUGGCUUUUCAUGGGCUUUUCAACCUCAGUGGGCCUUCCUCUCUGCAGCUGGUUGGAAAAAUUUUACCACGGAUUGGAGUGGAGAAGAAUUCAGGUCGUGGGACCAAGCCGGCCCGAGAAUGCGGGGCUACGUCCUUGCUGCCUCAGUUUAAGAGAUUACCUCUGAGUUUAUUCAUUCAGCUGUGACCGGCACCUGUUAUGGAAAGAGUCCCUGGUGUUUUCAUCAUAGAGGAAAUAGAAGGUGUAAUAGAGCUUGGAGGAUCUUUCAGUUUGUGGAAAAUGGUAUGAGAAGGAGUUUUUUUAAAAAUUUUUUUAUUUUUAUUUUUUUUUUAUUUGACAGGCAGAGUUAGAGAGAGAGAGAGACAGAAAGGUCUUCCUUCCAUUGGCUCACCCCUCAAAUGGCCGCUACGGCCGGAGCUUCGCUGAUCCGAAGCCAGGAGCCAGGUGCUUCCUCCUGGUCUCCCAUGUGGGUGCAGGACCCAAGCACUUGGGCCAUCCUCCACUGCACUCCCAGGCCACAGCAGAGAUCUGAACUGGAAUUGGGACUAGAAACCAGGGUGCUGGCACCACAGGCGGAAGAUUAACCAAGUGAGCCAUGACGCCCGCCCCAGAAGUUUUUGUGGUGGAAAACUUUUUGAAAUCCAUGCAUAUAGCCGGUGCCGCGGCUCACUAGGCUAAUCCUCCGCCUUGCGGUGCUGGCACACCAGGUUCUAGUCCCGGUCGGGGCGCCGGAUUCUGUCCCGGUUGCCCCUCUUCCAGGCCAGCUCUCUGCUGUGGCCUGGGAGUGCAGUGGAGGAUGGCCCAAGUGCUCGGGCCCUGCACCCCAUGGGAGACCAGGAGGAAGCACCUGGCUCCUGGCUUUGGAUUGGCGCAGUGCGCCAGCUGUAGCAGCCAUUUGGGGGAUGAACCAAUGGAAGGAAGACCUUUGUCUCUCUCUCUCACUGUCUAACUGCCUGUCAAAAAACAAAACAAAACAAAACAAAAACAAACAAACAAACAAAAAAACAACAACAACAAAAAAACCCAAAACUGGCAAGGUCACAGAAUGUCCAGGCCCAUGUUACCCUGCUGGUGAGGGAGCAGCCCCAUGCUCUUGCUGCCUUUCAGAGCUCCAUGCAGAAAGACAGCGAGGUCUCAGCCAUGUGUUUCUCAUAGCCUUCCUUAAACUUCCUGUUCUGAGCUUCAGUGAAGUGGUUUUGUCCAAUCUCCCACAACUCCUGCCAGAACAUUGACAUUUUCAUGAACUUUGACCCAUUUGGGAUUUUAUUUUAUUUGUUUAUUUUCAUUUUAUUUGAAAUAGAGGUAGAAAAGCCUUCCAUAUACUCAUUCACUCCCUGAAUCUCCACUACAGCUGGGGCUGGGCAAGGCUGAAGCUGGGAGCCCAGAACUCAAUCUGAGUCUCCCAUGUGGAUGGCAGUGACCUAAGUACUUAAGCCAUCAUCUGCCACAUCCUAGCACCCCAUUUUGGGUUGCGAUAAUCUCGUACCUCUCAAUACUUAAAUCGCUGACGUAGAUAUUAACGCAUUGUCCUGACAUUAAAGCGAGACUAGCAGGCAUGGGUGUGGUUAGGUAAGCUCUUUGUGAACAGAUGGCCUUGUUCUGAAACACUCAGGAAGGGCUCCGGUUCUGUGCACCGCACUCACGCCUCUCUGAGCUGCCGGAAUGUCCCAACCUCAGCACUGUUCAGUCUAGCACUGUUCAAGGUAGCUGCAGUCAGUUUUCUGACCCACUUCCCUGAAGUCACUGAAGGGCCCAUCCUCAGAGCCUCACUUGCUGCUACUCAUGUUUCUAGUUCAGGCAAAGGUCUAGUUGAACACUACUGAGAAUUCUUCUUUUGAUCUAAAUUCCCAUGGCUGUUAACAUAAUUAAAUAAAAGGAAUAGAAUAUGAAGAAACAGUAGGGUUGACUAACUUUGCUUUAUACUGCUUUUUUUUUUUAAUUUAAAGAUUUACUUAUUUACUUGAGAGGCAGAGUUACAGACAGAGAGUGGGAGAGAAAGAGAGAGAGAGAGAGAGAGAUCUUCAUUUGCUGUUUUAUUUCCCAAAUGGCUGCAACAGCCAGAGCUGGGCCGAUCUGAAUCUGGGAGCCAGGAGCUUCUUCCGGGUCUCCUACGUGGGUGCAGGGGCCCAAGUACUUGGGCCAUCUUCUACUGCUUUCCCAGGCCAUAGCAGGGAGCUGGAUCAGAAGUGGAGCAGCUGGGACUCAAACCUGUGCCCAUAUGGGAUGCCGGUGCUGCAGGCCGGGGCUUUAACCCACUGCGCCACAGUGCUAGCCCCCCAUAAAUAAAUCUUUUUUUUAAAGAUAAGUUUAUUUUGGUGCAAAAAUUUUGAAAUCUGUGCCUUGUUUUUCAUAAUGCGCAUUUCUAAGAUUUCUAAGAUGCACGUCUCUGGCUUUAGGUGGGAAUGGGAUCCAAGGGGCGGAGAGACCUCUUGUCUAUGUGGAUCUCUGUCCUGAAGUCAGGCAAACAGAGGGAAAGGCGGAAAACGGACCAAUUUUUUAAAUGUCUUCAGCUCAACAAGCCUCAGUACUUUAAGGGGGGGCAUAUUUUGCCUUCUUUACUUAUGUAAUUGAGUAUUUUUAUUUUUUAGCUUUUAGUUUCAAUAGUCAAAAAUGGUCAGGGAGCUCAUAGCAAGAUAUUUCUCUCUGUUUGCUCCAUAGUAUUGGAUUCAUUUAGGCUCUCUGAGCUAAAUGAUGUUAUUUUCAUGUGCAAAAUGUCAAUUUGCUUAAUUGCCUAGAAAUAAUACAAUAUCAUUUAUCAUUUGGCUUAAAGGAAAAUUAGGUCAAUCAAUGAUUCCAUUAGAGAGGCUCACCUUUGAGUUUUAGGUUGUUGCCUAUUUUAUUUAAAAAGGUAUGAGGAUAUAUUUUUAAAUUUCCUAAAAUAGUUACAGCUCAACAAAUUUUACCUCCAUUUAAGGAGCUAGCAAUGUGGUUGCAUAGGGCGUGUGCUGGCUGGAGACGGAAGGUUCUGGUCUGGCUGGGCUCCAGUGAUUCAGGGUGUUCCGUGGCCACUGUUGGGAUGAUGCGACUGAGCCACCUCUCAGAUCCCACUCUUCUGGCUCUUACGGCCAGUGACCUUCACCGCUGUCUUCCAGAAUGUGUUUGGGGGAACCCUCGCUUGGUAAAGGGUAAUGAGCUUUGUGGUCAAGUACGGUUUUGAAGCCACUGUUAAAUUUCUCCUCAGGAAAGGGAACACAUUUCCCAGAGGGCAGCUUGUGGAGCACAAGUUCUGGAAGAAGGCUGUAAAGAACCAGCUGCUGCUUGGAGAUUAGAAAGCCAUGGAUAGGGGCAGGCGCUGGGGCGCAGCGGGUUAACGCCCUGGCCUGAAGCGCCGGCAUCCCAUAAGGACGCUGGUUCGAGACCCAGCUGCUCCACUUCCAAUCCAGCUCUCUGCUAUGGCCUGGGAAAGCAGUAGAAGAUGGCUCAAGUGCUUGGGCCCCUGCACCCACGUUGGAUUGGCACAGCUCCGGCCAUUGCAGCCAAUUGUGGAGUGAAUCAGUGGAUGGAAGACCUCUUUCUCUCUCUCUGCCUCUCCUCUCUCUCUGUAACUCUUUCAAAUAAAUAAAUAAAUUAAAAAAAAAAAGCAAGACAUGGAUGAAUUGGCAGUUUUUCUGAUAUCAUAGAAGAGUCAAAGGGCACUCACACAUCACCUUAUGAAUGGCAAAAGCUUAUGAUCCGUUUCAACAUCACUUACGCAGUCGGUCAUGGGGUUCGUUUUCAUUACACCAAAUGAAGUAUUAUAGACAAUUCUGUUUAAAUCCUCUUCCUUUAGGGUUUUCUCCAGGAAUUCUGUCAUCUUUCUGAUUCCAUCUUUUGGAUCCUGUGGGGAAGAGCAAGGACAAGAGAGCUCCUUAGCCAAACCUUAAGGAACUGAGCAAACAGGACUGUGGUUACCAUAUGGUAAACAAAGCAAGCAAGCAAACAAACACCCAAAAACCAAGGAGCUGAGCAUGACCAUGACGAUGACAUUUUAAACUAAGUUAACAGUUCACAGCCAUUUGAAAAUGAUGUUUAUUACUGUGCGUGGAUCUCUGAAUGGCAGGCCAGUAAACACGACCUUGUCAAGUGAGAUGACGGGAACAGUGAUUGAUUCUGUGCUGUAGGUGGUGCAGGGCAGGGUCUCUUCUAGGAGGCUUACACUUCCCUUGCAUUCAUAGCUGCUAGAUAUGAAGCCUGAAGGCACUCCAUAAAGUCCACAUAAGAUGGAAUUAAAAGUAUAGGUUUGGGGCCGGUGCUGUGGUGCAGCGCAUUAAUGCCCUAGCCUGAAGCGCUGGCAUCCCAUAUGGGCACUGGUUCCAGUCCCGACUGCUCCUCUUCCGAUCCAGCUCUCUGCUAUGGCCGGGGAAAGCAGUGGAAGAUGGUCCAAAUCCUUGGGCUCCUGCACCCACGUGAGAGACCCAGAAAAAGCUUCUGGCUCCUGGCUUAGGAUCGGCACAGUUCUGGCUGUUGCGGCCAAUUGGGGAAUGAACCAGUGGAUGGAAGACCUCUCUCUCUCUCUCUCUCUCUCUC